UUCUCCAGAGGACCUGUAAGACCCCCGAAGGGAGACCCUCACUCAAGUCUCGGGAUAAUAGCAGACCCCCAAGAACUCAUGAGAGA
rnacentral:pre_miRNA from 7 species